UACGGGGGGGGCAAGCGUUGUUCGGAAUUAUUGGGCGUAAAGGGCGCGUAGGCGGUGCGGUAAGUCACCUGUGAAAUCUCCUGGCUCAACUGGGAGCUUGCAGGCGAAACUGCCGUGCUGGAGUGUGGGAGAGGUGAGUGGAAUUCCCGGUGUAGCGGUGAAAUGCGUAGAUAUCAGGAGGAACACCAGCGGUGUAGACGGCUUUCUGGACCAUUGCUGACGCUGAGACACGAAAGCGUGGGUAGCAAACAGG
rnacentral:rRNA from 1 species